AAAACACGAGACAAAGUAAAGAGGGAGAAUAGAUAGAAUG
rnacentral:guide_RNA from 1 species